rnacentral:rRNA from 1 species
CCCGCACAAGCAGUGGAGUAUGUGGUUUAAUUCGAAGCAACGCGAAGAACCUUUACCAGGGCUUGACAUCCCUUGAAGCAGCUAGAGAUAGCUGUGUCCUUCGGGACAAGGAGACAGGUGGUGCAUGGUUGUCGUCAGCUCGUGUCGUGAGAUGUUGGGUUAAGUCCCGCAACGAGCGCAACCCCUGUGGUUAGUUGCCAGCAAGUAGCGUUGGGCACUCUAGCCAGACUGCCGGUGAUAAAUCGGAGGAAGGUGGGGGACGACGUCAAAUCAUCAUGCCCUUUAUGUCCUGGGCUACACACGUACUACAAUGGCCGUUACAACGGGAAGCGAAGGAGCAAUCCGGAGCAAAUCCCUUAAAGGCGGUCCCAGUUCAGAUUGUGGGCUGAAACUCGCCCACAUGAAGGCGGAAUUGCUAGUAAUUGCAGAUCAGCAUGCUGCAGUGAAUACGUUCCCGGGCCUU